AAGAACAUCCCUCCGUGGCCUCUGCAUCAGUUCCUGCUUCCUGACCUGCUUGAGUUCUAGUCCUGCAUCCUUUGGUGAUCAACAGCAAUGUGGAAAGUCUUGUGAUGCACAGGUUUGAAGAGUCUGGAGAGAUGAGGUCACAGCUGGAAAUCACUUUUGAAGAUGGAACCCGGUCUGAGAAACCACCUGCUUCUUCCUUAGUGACUUUGUUCCUGCAGGCAGCCCCCUUCUCCCUCCUUUAAGGUCAACAUGACUCGGACUUCAGACAACUGGUCAUCUAAACGGGUUCUACCUGGGCUCCUGCUGGUACUGACCAUCCUCCCCAUUGACCAUUUGCUCCUAAGACAUCCUCAGAGUGCAGGAGCGCCAGCGAUCAUUCUGUGAUAAUGGGGUGAUGUCAUUGGCCAACUUUCUGGGCCAGAACUCAAUUAAAAUUCUCUGGCGUUUGGGGCCAUGACUCAUUUGGUACGGCAUUUGCACUGUGAGCAUAAGAAUAUGGAUUUGGAUGCCCAGAACCCGUACAAAAUGCCUGAUGAGGUGAUACAUACCUGUACUCC
ensembl:sense_intronic C87198 expressed sequence C87198